rnacentral:lncRNA from 1 species
GACAGCAUGUGAGCGCAAGAUUUUCCUGUUUUGUGAAUCUUGCCAUAUAAAAUAGACGCCGGUUUAUUUUGCAUAUUAGUAGCAUUUUAACACCGGGAAAGGCUUCUUGUUGGAAAAUGAAGAUUUUACAUGCCCUUACAUGCCUUCUGGUGGUGGGAUUAGUUCUGCUGAGCGGGGUUGCGCACGCGCAGGGCUUCUGCCCGUAUGAUUACACCCCGGUUUGCGCUACCAACGGACAAACGUACGGCAACAUGUGCAGCCUGCGGCGAGCUGGAGCUAAAUUAGCACACAAGGGAGCUUGUUAAACGGGUUAACCUCUUUAUCCUCGAGGGUUUACCAUUAAGAGCUUAUAAAUGGGUAAAACAAGUUUUACAACAACGCAUAGAUUAUAAAGCCGGCGAUAAGACAACAUGACAUGAUGAUGAAGCUUUUAAUGAUGACGACAAUUAUAUCAAAAUGGAUUACAGUCGAAUUCCUUCAUAUUAAUAUAGAAGAAUAACGAAUUAUUUAUGUAUCUUUU